rnacentral:misc_RNA from 1 species
GAAGUGCGAUAAGCAAUGCGAAUUGCAGAAUUCCGCGAAUCAUCAGAUCUUUGAACGCAAAUGGCGCCAGAGGGAUAUCCUUCUGGCAUGUCUGUUUCAGUGUCUGAGAGGUUUCACACUCAUCUUAAUGUGAUUGAACUGAGUUAGUUAGUUUUAAUACGACUAGCUCUCUCUUUUCUCUCAUGAAAGUUGCGCAAGGGGAUCUUUCGGUCCAAUGAAGUGGUCACAUCACUCGUAUGUGAUUUCAUUGGAAGCACCGAAUUAUCCAUAUAUACAAACUUGCGGUAUCAUUAUAUUAUGUAUUGAUGGUGCAUCAUCAUCAGUACUCUCUCUAUACCCUGCAUCUGAGAUAGGCAAGAUCACCCGCUGAACUUAA